rnacentral:misc_RNA from 1 species
GAAAUGCAAGGGUGUUCUUUUUAGGAGCCCGACCCAAAUCAUUUUCACACUGUGCACUAUACUAUUUUACACCCAUUUUAAACCCAUUAUAAUAUAAGAAUGUCAACAGUCUCUUAAUUGAGCAAAAACAAAACAAAACUUUCGACAACGGAUCUCUUGGCUCC